rnacentral:tRNA from 1 species
GCGUCCGUAGCUCAACUGGAUAGAGCAUUAGACUUCGGAUCUAAGGGUUGCAGGUUCAAAUCCUGCCGGGCGUACCA